UAGGGAAUCUUCCACAAUGGACGCAAGUCUGAUGGAGCAACGCCGCGUGAGUGAAGAAGGUUUUCGGAUCGUAAAGCUCUGUUGUUGGUGAAGAAGGAUAGAGGCAGUAACUGGUCUUUAUUUGACGGUAAUCAACCAGAAAGUCACGGCUAACUACGUGCCAGCAGCCGCGGUAAUACGUAGGUGGCAAGCGUUGUCCGGAUUUAUUGGGCGUAAAGCGAGCGCAGGCGGAAUGAUAAGUCUGAUGUGAAAGCCCACGGCUCAACCGUGGAACUGCAUCGGAAACUGUCAUUCUUGAGUGCAGAAGAGGAGAGUGGAACUCCAUGUGUAGCGGUGGAAUGCGUAGAUAUAUGGAAGAACACCAGUGGCGAAGGCGGCUCUCUGGUCUGCAAACUGACGCUGAGGCUCGAAAGCAUGGGUAGCGAACAGGAUUA
rnacentral:rRNA from 1 species